rnacentral:rRNA from 1 species
CAUAGCCUUUUGUUUUUCUAAAAGGUAAGGCCUGCCCGGUGUAUUUUUAUAAACGGCUUUUACAAUUAAAGUAGCGUAAUAAUUUGUUCCUUUAUUGGGGACUUGUAUGAAAGGCAAAACGGAAAUAAGCUGUUUCUGAUGAAUAAAAAAAAAUUUGUGUUUAAGUGAAAAAGCUUAAAUAAGCAAAAAGGACGAGAAGACCCUAUAGAAUUUAAUAGCAUAAGAGUUUUUAAACUCCAUCUAUUUUGUUGGGGCAACAACGGAGCUUCCUAAACUCCGAAAUUUCAAUUUGAUAAUCUCAAACAAAAAAAAUCCGAAAAUAGAACUAAGAAAAAUUACCUUAGGGAUAACAGCGUAAUAUCCCCCAGAAAGACCUAAUUGAAGGGGGAGUUUGCGACCUCGAUGUUGGACUAAGAUACCUUUUAAGUGCAGCAGUUUAAAAUAGUUAGCCUGUCCGGCUUUUAAAU